UACGUAGGGUGCAAGCGUUAAUCGGAAUUACUGGGCGUAAAGCGUGCGCAGGCGGUUUUGUAAGUCUGUCGUGAAAUCCCCGGGCUCAACCUGGGAAUUGCGAUGGAGACUGCAAGGCUAGAAUCUGGCAGAGGGGGGUAGAAUUCCACGUGUAGCAGUGAAAUGCGUAGAGAUGUGGAGGAACACCGAUGGCGAAGGCAGCCCCCUGGGUCAAGAUUGACGCUCAUGC
rnacentral:rRNA from 1 species